AGAUUGAACGCUGGCGGCAGGCCUAACACAUGCAAGUCGAGCGGUAGAGAGGUGCUUGCACCUUUUGAGAGCGGCGGACGGGUGAGUAAUGCCUAGGAAUCUGCCUAGUGGUGGGGGAUAACGGUUCGGAAACGGACGCUAAUACCGCAUACGUCCUACGGGAGAAAGCGGGGACCUUCGGGCCUCGCGCCAUUAGAUGAGCCGUAGGUCGGAUUAGCUAGUUGGUGAGGUAGUGGUCUACACCGAAGGUCGACGAUCCGUAACUGGUUCUGAGGAGAGUGAUCA
rnacentral:rRNA from 1 species